CUCUCACACACACACACACACACACGCCGCUGGAGCUCGGUGAACCUUUCCUGCUCUUCACGAGAUGAAGGAGUUUGUGUCCGUUAUGACGCGUCUCCAUUAAUGAUGGAUGACAUGAACAGACGAGAGCGGAUCACAUCCGCACACACAUACCUGGAUGAAGGUUUGUAC